rnacentral:ncRNA from 1 species
UGAAUCCGCGCGGGAGAGUCCCUGGCAGUGCAUCGCCGGGGCGCCGAAGGAGCAAGUCCCUCCCUUGAAUCUCUCAGGCCCCGUUACCGCGCGGGCGAG